AUUGAACGCUGGCGGCAGGCCUAACACAUGCAAGUCGAACGAGUGGCGGACGGGUGAGUAAUGUCUGGGAAACUGCCCGAUGGAGGGGGAUAACUACUGGAAACGGUGGCUAAUACCGCAUACUAUCGGAUGAACCCAUAUGGGAUUAGCUUGUAGGUGGGGUAACGGCUCACCUAGGCGACGAUCCCUAGCUGGUCUGAGAGGAUGAUCAGCCACACUGGGACUGAGACACGGCCCAGACUCCUACGGGAGGCAGCAGUGGGGAAUAUUGCACAAUGGGCGCAAGCCUGAUGCAGCCAUGCCGCGUGUAUGAAGAAGGCCUUAGGGUUGUAAAGUACUUUCAGCCGGGAGGCGUUACCGACAGAAGAAGCACCGGCUAACUCCGUGCCAGCAGCCGCGGUAAUAC
rnacentral:rRNA from 1 species